AUUGAACGCUGGCGGCAUGCUUUACACAUGCAAGUCGAACGGCAGCGGGGGCUUCGGCCUGCCGGCGAGUGGCGAACGGGUGAGUAAUGCAUCGGAACGUGCCCAUGUCGUGGGGGAUAACGUAUCGAAAGGUACGCUAAUACCGCAUCCGUCCUGAGGGAGAAAGCGGGGGAACUUCGGACCUCGCGCGAUUGGAGCGGCCGGUGUCGGAUUAGCUCGUAGGUGGGGUAAAGGCUCACCUAGGCGACGAUCCGUAGCGGGGCGGAGAGGAUGAUCCGCCACACUGGGACUGAGACACGGCCCAGACUCCUACGGGAGGCAGCAGUGGGGAAUUUUGGACAAUGGGCGCAAGCCUGAUCCAGCCAUGCCGCGUGAGUGAAGAAGGCCUUCGGGUUGUAAAGCUCUUUCGGCCGGGAAGAAAUCGCAUUCUCUAACAUAGGAUGUGGAUGACGGUACCGGACUAAGAAGCACCGGCUAACUACGUGCCAGCCGCCGCAGUAAAAC
rnacentral:rRNA from 1 species